rnacentral:rRNA from 1 species
AUUGAACGCUGGCGGCAUGCCUUACACAUGCAAGUCGAACGGCAGCACGGGUGCUUGCACCUGGUGGCGAGUGGCGAACGGGUGAGUAAUACAUCGGAACAUGUCCUGUAGUGGGGGAUAGCCCGGCGAAAGCCGGAUUAAUACCGCAUACGAUCUACGGAUGAAAGCGGGGGACCUUCGGGCCUCGCGCUAUAGGGUUGGCCGAUGGCUGAUUAGCUAGUUGGUGGGGUAAAGGCCUACCAAGGCGACGAUCAGUAGCUGGUCUGAGAGGACGACCAGCCACAGUGGGCUUGAGACACGACCCAGACACCUAGGGGAGGCACAGUGGGGGAAUUUUGGAAAAUGGGCGAAAGCCUGUCCCAAAAGUGCAGGGGGGGUGAAGAAGGCCUUCGGGUGGUAAAGCACUUUUGGCGGGAAAAAAAUCCUUGGCCUUAGAAGGGUCGGGGAUGACGGUACCGGAAGAAUAAGCACCGGCUAACUACGUG